rnacentral:rRNA from 1 species
UACGAAGGGGGCUAGCGUUGCCCGGAAUCACUGGGCGUAAAGCGCACGUAGGCGGUUUGUUAAGUCAGGGGUGAAAUCCUGGAGCUCAACUCCAGAACUGCCUUUGAUACUGAAGAUCUUGAGUUCGGGAGAGGUGAGUGGAACUGCGAGUGUAGAGGUGAAAUUCGUAGAUAUUCGCAAGAACACCAGUGGCGAAGGCGGCUCACUGGCCCGAUACUGACGCUGAGGCACGAAAGCGUGGGGAGCAAACAGG